CCAAGGUUCUUGUGAUGUUUUUUACCUAACUAAGCAAACUGUGUCAUAAAUGAACUAAAUAAGCUUAUUAUGUCAUUUUGGAGGGUAAUUAGCUAAGUAAGUGUUUCUGGGGGAAAAGGCUAAGGAGAAGAAGAAAGAGGAGAAGAAGAAGGAGAAGAAGAAGAAGAAGAAUAAGGAGAAGAAGGAUAAGAAGAAGGAGAAGAAAAGAACAAGAAGAAGAAGAAGAAGAAGAAGAAGAGGAAGAAGAAGAAGAAGAAGGAGGAGGAGGAGGANN
rnacentral:lncRNA from 1 species